rnacentral:SRP_RNA from 1 species
GCUGGGUGUGGUGGCUUACGCCUGUAAUCCCAGCACUUUGGGAGGCUGAGGUGGGUGGAUCACCUGAGGUCAGGAGUUCAAGACCAGCCUGGCCAACAUGGUGAAACCCCAUCUCUA